UACGGGGGGGGCAAGCGUUGUUCGGAGUUACUGGGCGUAAAGGGCUCGUAGGUGGCCAACUAAGUCAGACGUGAAAUCCCUCAGCUUAACUGGGGAACUGCGUCUGAUACUGGAUGGCUUGAGUUUGGGAGAGGGAUGCGGAAUUCCAGGUGUAGCGGUGAAAUGCGUAGAUAUCUGGAGGAACACCGGUGGCGAAGGCGGCAUCCUGGACCAACACUGACACUGAGGAGCGAAAGCCAGGGGAGCAAACGGG
rnacentral:rRNA from 1 species